UCCUGAUGGCAUUCCAGAUAAUCAAUUCCGCCAGUUGAUCGAGUAUUGGAAACACCCAACUGUUCAAGACAUAUGCGAGAUGAAUUCUCAAAACAGGAAAAAACAAAAGUGGAGGCAUCGAAUGGGACCUAUUAAUUUUGCAAGAGUACGCGUGGCAUUGCGUGCAGCCAAAGACAACAACGAAGAACCAUCAAAGCCUGAAAUGUUUAUUGCAACUCGUACCAAGACGGGAAAGGAAAUCCAGGCUGA